rnacentral:lncRNA from 12 species
UUGCUGCAGGCUGCUCACCAUGAGAGCACCAGGGCUGUGACGGUGCUCUGGCAUUUUUGAAACAAUGCAUGGAUUCUGAUAGCAAAACGUGCAACAGGUGUUGGACAUGCAGCCUAAGCACCCAGCUGACCUUGGUUUGUGUGUUGGUUUUUGCACAGAAUCUGAGCUGUCAUUGCUGUAUUUUCAUUCCACUCCAUCUCCCAGGCUGUAGCCC